AGGCAGAUGUCACCAGCAACCCAAUAAAUAAGCCUCCAGCCCAGGACCAGGCCACCAGGCAGGCGCAGCCCUGGGUGCUCAUGAGCACGUUGUAGCGCAGGGGGUGGCAGAUGGCCACGUAGCGGUCGUAGCCCAUGAUCAUGAGCAGGAAGGAGUGGGUGAAGCCAAACGUGAAGGAGAAGAACAUCUGGCUGGCACAGGCCACAAAGGUGAUGGAGCGGUGGGUGGAGAGCAUGUGAACCAGCAUAUAAGGAGUGAUGGCAACAGUGAACAGGAUCUCGGAGAUGGAGAGGGCGCACAGGAAGAGGUACAUGGGGGUGUGGAGGCUGUGCUCCCUCCAGAUGGUGCCCAUGAUGAGCAGGUUGCCCAGCAGCGUGAACAGGUACAUCAGCAGGAAGAGCAGGAAGAACAUCAGCUGAAGGUGGGGGAAGGUGGAGAAGCCAAUGAGGAUGAAUUCAGUCACUGCUGAGAAGUUGGCUCCUUGCAUGGGGGCUGUUUCUGAAGUGAGGUGUGACAUGGAGAGGUCAUCUACUGGAUGGAGGGAGGUCAUUAGCUUCCAUCAUUCCUGACUCUGUCCAAGGGGCUGCUCCUGACAAAUGACAAAUGACACUGGCUGAGUUCCUACUCUGCGCCUCCUACGAUGUAAUCCUCUUAUCAGUGUAGUGGGGGAGAUGUUUUUAUCAAUGAUUCUGAUCAUUUAAAGCAUAAGCACUGAAAAUAUUAGGUUCAGGGAAGCUAAGCAUCUUGUUCAAGGUGAAGCUGUCAAAAUGGCAGAGUAAAUACUUGAACCCAUGGCUGACUGUCUCCAAAGACUAUACCCUUCUCUCCCUCUGGUUACUUCCAAAAAAUAUAAUGUUCCUUCACUAAAGUUUGCAGCCAUUGUCCAGUUCCUCCCUUCUGAUAAAUCUUGUUCUUCUCAAGGUUUCAGAUACCAGAGGACCUACUUACCCCAUGUCUACAACACUUUGGACCAGUGUGCAUCUCUAAUUUAACAUCAAUCAAUCAGAUUCUUCCUCUGGAGUUAUCCAUGCAAGGAAUCUGAAGAAAGAGACUGUGCAGGAAUAAUGUUCUUGUUGUUUUCCAGAUCCCAUGAGGUACAUCUGUACCUACUGAGACAAUGUAACAUAGCCAUCAAGGAAAGCAAUGAGAGAGUCUGGGAGUUUGAGUCCCUGCUCUGCCCACUGUGUAAACUUGAGCAAGUACAUCACCUCUUUGUACCUCCAUUUCUCUCUACCUGCCUCU
rnacentral:lncRNA from 1 species